UAGGGAAUCUUCCACAAUGGGCGAAAGCCUGACGGAGCAACGCCGCGUGAGUGACGAAGGUCUUCGGAUCGUAAAACUCUGUUAUUAGGGAAGAACAAAUGUGUAAGUAACUAUGCACGUCUUGACGGUACCUAAUCAGAAAGCCACGGCUAACUACGUGCCAGCAGCCGCGGUAAUACGUAGGUGGCAAGCGUUAUCCGGAAUUAUUGGGCGUAAAGCGCGCGUAGGCGGUUUUUUAAGUCUGAUGUGAAAGCCCACGGCUCAACCGUGGAGGGUCAUUGGAAACUGGAAAACUUGAGUGCAGAAGAGGAAAGUGGAAUUCCAUGUGUAGCGGUGAAAUGCGCAGAGAUAUGGAGGAACACCAGUGGCGAAGGCGACUUUCUGGUCUGUAACUGACGCUGAUGUGCGAAAGCGUGGGGAUCAAACAGG
rnacentral:rRNA from 1 species